rnacentral:rRNA from 1 species
GAUGAACGCUAGCGGCAGGCCUAAUACAUGCAAGCCGAACGGCAAGUUUGAUAGCAAUAUUGGACCUAGAGUGGCGCAAGGGUGCGUAACACGUAUGCAACCUGCCCGCGACAGGAGGAUAGCUCCCCGAAAGGGGAAUUAACCCUCCAUAACACCAUGAGAAGGCAUCUGAUUAUGGUUAAACCGCAAGGGGUCGCGGAUGGGCAUGCGGUUGAUUAGCUAGUUGGCGGGGUAAAGGCCCACCAAGGCGGUGAUCAAUAGGGGUUCUGAGAGGAAGGUCCCCCACACUGCAACUGGGAAACGGGCCGGAUCCGAACGGGAGGCGGCAGUAGGGAAAAUUGGACAAGGGUGGAAGGCCGGACCCGGCCUUGCGGCGUGAAGAAGGAGGGCUUUCGGGGCCGUAAACUGCUUUUUCCGGUGGUAAAAUACCCGUGCGCGGGGAAUUGAAGGUAACAGGGGAAUAAGCCACGGCUAACUACGUG